rnacentral:rRNA from 1 species
CCUACGGGAGGCAGCAGUGAGGAAUAUUGGUCAAUGGACGAGAGUCUGAACCAGCCAAGUAGCGUGAAGGAUGACUGCCCUAUGGGUUGUAAACUUCUUUUAUAUGGGAAUAAAAUGUUCCACGUGUGGGAUUUUGUAUGUACCAUAUGAAUAAGGUUCGGCUAACUCCGUGCCAGCAGCCGCGGUAAUACGGAGGAUCCGAGCGUUAUCCGGAUUUAUUGGGUUUAAAGGGAGCGUAGGUGGAUUGUUAAGUCAGUUGUGAAAGUUUGCGGCUCAACCGUAAAAUUGCAGUUGAAACUGGCAGUCUUGAGUACAGUAGAGGUGGGCGGAAUUCGUGGUGUAGCGGUGAAAUGCUUAGAUAUCACGAAGAACUCCGAUUGCGAAGGCAGUUCACUGGACUGCAACUGACACUGAGGCUCGAAAGUGUGGGUAUCAAACAGGAUUAGAUACCCCUGUAGUC